CAGUCGCCGCGGUAAUACGAAGGGGGCUAGCGUUGUUCGGAAUAACUGGGCGUAAAGGGCGCGUAGGCGGAUCUUUAAGUCAGGGGUGAAAUCCCAAGGCUCAACCUUGGAACUGCCUUUGAUACUGGGGAUCUUGAGUCCGGGAGAGGUGAGUGGAACCGCGAGUGUAGAGGUGAAAUUCGUAGAUAUUCGCAAGAACACCAGUGGCGAAGGCGGCUCACUGGCCCGGAACUGACGCUGAGGCGCGAAAGCGUGGGGAGCAAACAGGAUUAGAUACCCGUGUAGUCCCUGUCUCUUAUAC
rnacentral:rRNA from 1 species